GGUGAGAUGGCCGAGUUGGUUAUGGCGCCAGGUUAAGGUUACACCUUAAUAAGUCGCUUCCUGGUACGGGAAACUGUGCGUGGGUUCGAGUCCCACUCUCAUCA